CUACGGAGGGUGCAAGCGUUAUCCGGAUUUACUGGGUUUAAAGGGUGCGUAGGUGGGUCGGUAAGUCAGCGGUGAAAUCUUCGAGCUUAACUCGGAAACUGCCAUUGAUACUAUCGAUCUUGAAUCAUCUAGAGGUAAGCGGAAUAUGUCAUGUAGCGGUGAAAUGCUUAGAUAUGACAUAGAACACCAAUUGCGAAGGCAGCUUACUAUGGAUGGAUUGACACUGAGGCACGAAAGCGUGGGGAUCAAACAGGAUUAGAUACCCUGGUAGUCCACGCCCUAAACGAUGGAUACUCGACAUCAGCGAUACACUGUUGGUGUCUGAGCGAAAGCAUUAAGUAUCCCACCUGGGAAGUACGAUCGCAAGAUUGAAACUCAAAUGAAUUGACGGGG
rnacentral:rRNA from 1 species